rnacentral:rRNA from 1 species
GACGAACGCUGGCGGCGUGCCUAACACAUGCAAGUCGAGCGGGAACCUCAGGAGGGGUAACCCUCCUGAGGGGAGAGCGGCGAACGGGUGAGUAACACGUGGGCAACCUGCCCCGGACACCGGGAUAACCCAGGGAAACCUGAGCUAAUACCGGAUACUCCGGCGAGAUCGCAUGGUCGCGCCGGGAAAGCUCCGACGGUCCGGGAUGGGCCCGCGGCCUAUCAGCUUGUUGGUGGGGUAACGGCCCACCAAGGCGACGACGGGUAGCUGGUCUGAGAGGACGGCCAGCCACACUGGGACUGGGACACGGCCCAGACUCCUACGGGAGGCAGCAGUGGGGGAUCUUGCGCUAAUGCGCGAAAGCGUGACGCAGCGACGCCGCGUGGGGGAUGAAGGCCCUCGGGUUGUAAACCCCUUUCGGCAGGGACGAAGCGAAAGUGACGGUACCUGCAGAAGAAGUCCCGGCUAACUACGUGCCAGCCGCCGCAGUAAAAC